CCGGUCAAAUGCCUGGACGAGCAGAGCUUUAUCUUGCUACUCAUAAGAAUGUAGAUGGAGCAUAUGUAAAUGAAGAGGCAAAGGUUAUCUGUGAAAAAAUUUAGCAAACUCUGAGUCAAAGCACUGUGGAUGAGUCUAUAAUAUCGCCAGAUGAUGCAGUUGGAAAAAUUCUAGGAAAA